rnacentral:lncRNA from 1 species
AAAUAGAGCUGUUCUUCUUAAGCAGAGAGAUGCCUAUUGUGUGGGUAAUUACAGGGAGGCCCGGCUGACCUGGCAAUGAGGUAGGGUAGCUAAAUACCUGAAGGCAAGGGGAGCGUCUGAAGUGAAAGCGAAGGCCCCAUCUGCCAGGCUGUAAUGAUUGUGCUAUUUGGAGGCAGAAAGGUUUGUCUGGAGCAGCUGGUUUCUCUCCAAGUGACCUUUUAGCAUUUCUGCUUUUGCCGUCUGACAGAUGUGUCAACUCAAUAAUUUCAAAAGCCCCUGAGUAAAUAACCAAUUGUGAGCAAGGAUGACCCAAAGCGAUGACAAAAUGGCUGCACGCGGCACAUUAUGGAGCAUAAUACCGAGUGACGGAACAGGGAACAUUAUCAGAAGGAAAAAACAUUUUCGUCUUUAGUUGGGACUAAAUGGCUCUCCUACCCACACUUCAGUUGUUCUUGAAGCGGGGAAGAAAGGGAAAUGCGCUGACACGGAGGGACGCGGCGGCGGCCUUGCCCUUGAAAGCCCGCGUUACCGGGCGCGGGACUCAGCUGGCGUCAGGGCGCUGGAAAUGGACUCCCGCGCGCUCGCCCCCGCUCUGCCGGAGGACCCAGCCCGGGCUAAUUGGCGCUGUGAAUGAUUCGGGGCUGUGAACAGGCGACUGCAAUCAGACUAGGGCUGAUGGCGUUGGGAGUCUUGCAGAGUUUGCACUGGCAAGGCAGGUGCGGCCGGGCUGCUUUUAUCCGGGAACUAAGCGGGAGGGGGCCCAGAGGCCAACGCUGCAAGGAUCUAGUGCAGCAGGGGCCAGAGCUUCAGGGAAUAAGAUUGCCCAGGAUUCCUCGGGGGGCAAGCAGAGCACCCUUGCGUGGAAAUCUGAUUGAUUCACCGUAUGCAUAUUUUUUGCCAGGCUUUUUAAACCCUUCACUGCUCCACUGGAAACACCACCAAACUAAGGCCUUUGGGAUAAAAUGCCAGACAAGACACAGUCGUCGCCUUCAAGGGGAUUUAAGUCUAGCAGGAGUGGGAGAAGUUGAAAAGAACACAAGAUUGUGGUCCAACUUCAAGCUGAAGAAUGUAAGUCACUUUUCAAGAUACUUUUCAUGUCCUGCAUGAGAACUUAGAGCUUAG